rnacentral:tRNA from 1 species
ACAUUAAGUGGCUGAAAGAAAGCAUUGGUCUCUUAAACCAAAUUAUAGUAAUUAUCACUUACUCUUAAUGG